rnacentral:tRNA from 1 species
GGAGCCCAAACUGAGCAAAGGUUAAGUGCUUGGCUGCUGACCAAAAGGUUGGUGGUUCAAACCCACCCAGCAUCU